rnacentral:tRNA from 1 species
GUGAUGGCUCAGUUGGUUGAGCGUCUGACUUCAGCUCAGGUCAUGAUCCCACGGUUCGUGGGUUCAAGCCCCACUUCACG